CGUCACCCUUUGUGUGAUUUAUCACAAAGCGCAUUUCAUGGGACGACAAGGCACUAAUAAGGCGUCAUUACGAGAUCCAGUCUGCCGCUUUUGCAAUACGAAAGUGAACGUCGACCUUAUGCUGGCCCCGUGUUCCUGUACAGAACCCUUUCUCCCGAUAUGCUCUGCACCCUUCAACUCGCGAGGACCAGUUGUACCUAAUUGGAGCCAUUGUGUUCUGCACGAGCCUAUACUGGGUUCUGGGUAGCGCCUGGCGUUAUUCUGUGUUCGUUUUGGAAACGCACUGGAUGCUACUAGCCAUCAUUUACACUAUGCUCCUGUUUCAGCCACUGUGCUGGUCUAUCUUUGCCUUCAUGAGCAUCUGGUUCUACUAUCGCAUGAUGUCCGACAGGAGGGAGAGGCACGCGUCGUUUUUCAUGUCGGGAACGGAACACCUGGAGCGUCCAAACCGCGAACAACACAUCGCAGCAUGAACUUUACGCAUCAUUUUGUUAUGUUGUCGGAGGCAUCUCCAUAAGAUUGCAAUGUCUUCUUCAGUACUGAAAAAAAUGUCCCUCGUAUAUGUUACAAUACGCUUCGUACAUUCUAUGUCAAAAUGAAAGGGGUUCAAUAUGUA